rnacentral:misc_RNA from 1 species
GGGGGAACAAAAACCACCCCGGGCCAUCCCAGCCAUGCAACGCCAGGGACUUGUUCUGCCCAGCAUUAGCAGGCCCCAGUAUCUAACCCCUAACGUUAUUUACCAGCUAACAUCAGAGAUGUCCUUUCGCCGUUUCAUGACAAAUGCCUCCAAGUAUUGUUUAUGUGAUUAUAUAGAAAAACUCAAACCAUUGCUGCCAAGAGAACAAAAUACAUCCAAU